rnacentral:rRNA from 1 species
GACGAACGCUGGCGGCGUGCCUAAUACAUGCAAGUCGAGCGAACAGACGCGGCGCUUGCUGCUUUGUCGUUAGCGGAGGACGGGUGAGUAACACGAGGAUAACCUACCUAUCAGUCUGGGAUCACUACGGGAAACGGGCGAUUAUCCGGGAUAAUAUAUUGAUGCGCAUGGUUGAAUAGUGAAUGACGGCUUUGCUGUCUGUACUCGCUGGAUACGAGCCGCAUUAGCUAGUUGGUACGGUAACGGCUUACCACGGGGAGGAUGCGUAGCCGACCUGAGAGGGUGAUCGGCGACACGGGAACUGGGACACGGUCCAGACUCCUACGGGAGGCAGCAGUAGGGAACCUUCGGCAAUGGGCGAAAGCCUGGCGGAGCGACGCCGCGUGUGUGACGAAGGUCUUCGGAUCGUGAAGCUCUGUUAUUGGGGAAGAACAGAUGUGUAAGUAACCGUAGACGUCGUGACGGUACCUAAUCAAAAAGCCCCGGCUAACUACGUG